UACGAAGGGGGCUAGCGUUGUUCGGAAUCACUGGGCGUAAAGCGCACGUAGGCGGAUUUUUAAGUCAGGAGUGAAAUCCCGAGGCUCAACCUCGGAACUGCCUUUGAUACUGGAGAUCUUGAGUCCGGAAGAGGUAAGUGGAACUGCGAGUGUAGAGGUGAAAUUCGUAGAUAUUCGCAAGAACACCAGUGGCGAAGGCGGCUUACUGGUCCGGAACUGACGCUGAGGUGCGAAAGCGUGGGGAGCAAACAGG
rnacentral:rRNA from 1 species